UUCCAAGUUCUUUUUUUUUAAAUUCGCAUUACAUCAUCACGUCAUAUUUUACUGAGAAAAAUUUAAGAUUAAAAUAUUCAAAUUUUUGUUUCCCCACCACAAAAAAAAAUGAUAUCGAUUUUUAAGAAAGUCUGCGAUCGACGUGAACAAAAAAAAAAAAUCGAUAGAGAGAGACGAAAGCCGUUAGGGAAGGAAAGGCAUAUUUAUCCUAUGAGUAUAGACAUUCAUAGCUAAUCAUGUUAUGACUCAAUUGCGCUGUGAUAAAACAUGAAAAAGUCGGUUCGGAAAUAUGCAUUGCUUAAGACUUUAUCUUAUCCACACACAUUAAAAAAAAAAAAAACUGUUACGGACAGUCAUUAGUUUCAUAUCUAUCGUCUUUUACUCGAUACGUAACUAACAAACGUCUUUAUCGGUGGGUGCCUCUCUCUCUCUUUUAUUGCUUGCCAUUCGAUGGCACAUCAUCAUUUAUAGUCGAACGAAUCCAACCACGAGGACUGUCCUUAUAUCCCAAGCCUUGGCAGAGAGUCUAUUAGAUCGACGUUCAAAAACUGUCGUGCCGGCAUCAUUUAGAUGGAUUGAUAUCAAGGAGGAAAGAACAUUCAGAACUCUGUUACACGACCAUCGCCGAAAAGCCCAUCAGUCAUUCGCACACCAUUGAUCUCUCUCUCCCUUUCAAUGUGGGGGGUUUGAUGUUUUGGACCGCCUUGAUAUGGCAUGCCGCAUACUACUGAUUGCAACAUCGCCUCGGUAGCGCAUCAAACUUUAGCCUAAGAAAAUGAACGCGUUUAAACCCAUGGCCUUAAUAAGAAGCAAAAGUUCUCCUUUUUUUUUUUUCUAUAGCGAAUGUCACUGAAUAAAUAGACGAACCGGACUUAAGCCCAUCACAAUGGACGGAGGGAGAAACUUAAUUACGCCAGUCGAUUUAACUCAUCGUACGACCUUCUAUUGUGCGGAAUCAUUGCAGCCGGACAAGUCCUUAUCCCUAUAUAGCCGCAGGCGUGCACCCCCGAGGGCGGCCUCUCUACUUGAUGACUGUGCACAAGUCAUAGUAUCGGAAAUAAGAGAACUCUUCUUACUUGAAAAGGAUGGAAAACAGUGAGGGCGAAAACAGCAAAAUCCAACUGGCAUACGAAUAAUGUCAAAGAUAACGAUGAUAAAGAAAUAGGAGAUUUGCGGCUCACCAAUGACGAUAAGACGAUAUUUAAAGUUGCGAGACGGGGCGCUGUUGAAAUCGACCCGACAACGGUAAUCUCCUCCAUCCUGGCGAGUCACGUUGGCAAUCUGCAGUCGAGCUAAUGCUGAUGCAUUGCGCGAAAACGAUCCACCGCCAGAUGAUGGCGGAGAUGAACUUGUCUGCGGUAACAGAAAACGAACUCGACGACCGAAACGCUCUUCGUUCCACCAAUGACGACCGGACCGACCUCGCCUCACAUCCAAACUGUGUGACGUUUUUUCACAGUCCCCGACAUAAGCAAAAAAAGGAAUAAUUCAUUCGUUUUUGUACAGUAAAUUAUCGAUUAGAUAUCCAUUCUCGUAGCGAAGCAGAACUUUUAAACACUGACGUUCCACCGACAUGUCAAUUGGACAAUAGACAAGCGAUGCAACAUUGAUUCGUCUAUACAAUUUAUACAAUUACUUAUUCAUCACCUCACGACAUUGAUCGCUUUUACCUAUAGAAUGGUUUGCGAUCGGGAUCGACGAACCAUAAAACCAGGUAACCAUCGUCCUUGACCGUUUCGGACGGACGGAAUGGAUCGACAUCAGCGGGCCCACCACCAGUCG